AUGUUUGAUCAAUGACACCAGGUGUGCCCUUUGGAGGUGGGCUUAGAAGAAUGUUGAAGAAAACAUGAUCAGAAUUUUGUCAUUAUGAGACGGAAUAGUAGACAAAGAUGGUUCACGCAGUCUAAAGUGAAGUUGAUGCUGCAGUUAAGUUCUCACGUGACGCUCAGCAUGGGCCAAGGAAUUCCAAAUGAUGCUUUGUACACAUUGUAAUUCAAUGCGAAGUACGCACUUAAAAUCA